UGGGGAAUAUUGGACAAUGGGGGAAACCCUGAUCCAGCCAUGCCGCGUGGGUGAAGAAGGCCCUAGGGUUGUAAAGCCCUUUCGCUCGCGAAGAUGAUGACGGUAGCGAGUAAAGAAGCCCCGGCUAACUCCGUGCCAGCAGCCGCGGUAAUACGGAGGGGGCUAGCGUUGUUCGGAAUUACUGGGCGUAAAGCGCGCGUAGGCGGAUGUUCAAGUCAGGGGUGAAAGCCCCGGGCUCAACCCGGGAACUGCCCUUGAAACUGAACAUCUUGAGUCCGGAAGAGGAUGGCGGAAUACCCAGUGUAGAGGUGAAAUUCGUAGAUAUUGGGUAGAACACCAGUGGCGAAGGCGGCCAUCUGGUCCGGAACUGACGCUGAGGUGCGAAAGCGUGGGGAGCAAACAGGAUUAGAUACCCGUGUAGUCC
rnacentral:rRNA from 1 species